rnacentral:tRNA from 3 species
GCGGGUGUAGCUCAGUGGUAGAGCACAACCUUGCCAAGGUUGGGGUCGAGGGUUCGAACCCCUUCGCCCGCU